GCCCAGGCGCGAAAACUCCACAAUGUACGACAGUACGAUGGGGUUAUCUCGAGUGCAGUCCGAUAAGGGCUGCUUUUCCAUAGAGUAAUAUCCUGUGGGAAUAAGAGGGGGGCAAGACUGGUGUCAGCCGCCGCGGUAACACCAGCCCCUCGAGUGGUGGGGACUAUUAUUUGGUCUAAAGCGUCCGUAGCUGGCUGUAUCCGUCCCCCGUUAAAUCCAGCGUCCUAAGCGUUGGACCGCGGGUGAUACCAUACAGCUAGAGGGUGGGAUAGGUGAGCGGUAUUUCUGGGGUAGGGGCGAAAUCCUUUGAUCCCAGGAGGACCACCAGUGGCGAAGGCUGCUCACUAGAACACGCCUGACGGUCAGGGACGAAAGCUGGGGCAGCGAACCGGAUUAGAUACCCGGGUAGUCCCAGCUGUAAACGAUGCCAGCUAGGUGUUGGGUCGGCCACGCGCCGCCCCAGUGCCGCAGGGAAGCCGUUAAGCUGGCCACCUGGGGAGUACGGCCGCAAGGCUGAAACUUAAAGGAAUUGGCGGGGGAGCAC
rnacentral:rRNA from 1 species